rnacentral:lncRNA from 1 species
GCGGUGGAGCGGAAGUUCUCUCUUUAUUUCUAAGGGUUUCUGUAUAUAUGGGUUUUUUGGCAUUGGAAUCACGCUAAACGGAGCCACACGGGGACCAUAAGCCAUCAGUAUGCGACCAUGGGGGGGUGGCCGCACCCUGUUGGCUUGUGGCCCACAGGUGUCUCCCCUCUCGUGGUUCUUCACUCCAAUAUUUAUCAUAUGUUCCAGAAAAAUCAUCAAAAAGUUUCAGGCGAUUCCAAG